rnacentral:misc_RNA from 1 species
GAAAUGCGAUAAGUAGUGUGAAUUGCAGAAUUUAGCGAAUCAUCGAAUCUUUGAACGCACAUUGCGCCCCUUGGUAUUCCAUGGGGCAUGCCUGUUCGAGCGUCAUUUCAACCCUCAAGCGCUGCUUGGUGUUGGGCGUUUGUCCCGCCUACGCGCGUGGACUCGCCUCAAAGUCAUUGGCAGCUGUUCCCCUUCGGCUCGUAAGCGCAGCACAGUCGGCGCCCGGAGCUCUGGUGGGAUGGCGUCCAGCAAGCUAUAUUUUCAGGCUUGACCUCGGAUCAGGUAGGGAUACCCGCUGAACUUAAGC